GUACCUGCAAAUUCAGGUGCCGGGAUUGACCUCCCGAGGAAGUAACCGCGACAUAAUAACACGCCGCGAGCGUGUUUUUU
rnacentral:sRNA from 1 species